GUGCUUUUAUGAUAAACUACCGAGAGAUCCGGUACAAACAAUCUUGAAAAUUUGCUGGAUGACUUCUGAACGACCAAAAGUGACAUGAAGGAACAAGUCAAACCCAUCUCCCAAGAUGGCCUGGACUUCGGAAAACCACAGGGGGCCCGGGGGGCUGUGUGGCUCGGCUCUUCACAGUCAGUGUGAACGGGACCAGCGCUCGGAGCCGGCCCUGGUGGAACACGGCGCACUCCCAAGCGUUCCGCGCCAGCGUGACG